rnacentral:tRNA from 1 species
GGGGUUGUGGCUCAGCGGUAGAGCACUUGCCUAGCAAGUGCAAGGCCCUGGGUUCGAUCCUCAGCACCA